rnacentral:misc_RNA from 1 species
AGUAAAAGCAGGGUGAGAAUGCAUGUCAGAAGGCAUAGGCAACAAAAAACACUAGGCUUGAGAUAUCACAAUGUUAAUCUUUUUCCUGUUCCUCUCAAUUUGCUCCCAUGUAACUCUUUUCUCUCAUAGUACUUCUGUUUGUCUUUCCAUUUUGGGUCCCAAAAUAUUUUAUCCAACUCCACCUUGGAGUUAUAGUAGUUGUGUAAUUUACAGAAUUGUCAUUCAAACUAAAUUGACCAUCCUGGUGGCAGCUGCAGACUAAUUUCUAAUAUUCAAUAAAGGGAUUACUAAUCCUAGAAUGGUUGUGAUUGUGAUGGAAUGCCUUUAUAUUUUGUUCCUUUCUUUCUGUAACUGGUGUAUAAGUGUAUUGUUGGCCAUGACAUAUUCAUUUGUAAAGUCAAAUUAUAUUUCAGGUUUCUCUUUGAAAUUGUGGAACAGAACUUUUUCAUAUAGCACAUGGCUGUUAUACAGGUGGGUUUCAAAAUGUUCCUAGGGGUUAGUGCAUCUGUGACCAAUUGGGAUGCUGAUGGGACAUGUUGCAGUAUCAUUUUGGAGGAUAAUCCCUUGGUAGACUCUGUUGAGCUUCCUGAUACAUGUCAAGGCCUAUACUACUGCAACAUUUUAAGUGGAGUCAUUAGAGGGGCACUGGAGAUGGUGAGUGUCUUUCUCUUCCAAGACACAUUUCCAUCUUCCCCUUUGGACUCUCUUCCACCCCAUCCCCCUCUCUCAAUUUUGUGAUUUUUUUUUAACUGGCAGAAUACAUGGCCAUAUAACAGUAGAAACUUCGUCUUGUACAUGCCUUGCAUUUAGUAGUAUUUUUAUCAAGUAAACUAUCCAGUUCAGGUUUCGUUGGAUGAUAAUAAUAAUUCUUUAUUACGUUAAUAGCAUCACUUAAGGAUAAAAAUGCGAACUUGGUGAAAUUUCGUCAACUUCUAAUCAAAAGUUAUCUAGUGAUUGAAUAUAGUGCUGGUGACUGUAGUUUCCUUUUGUUUAAAGUGCUGAGUAUCAUUUUGUUCCUCUAUUAGAUGGAAGGUGCAGUUUUUUUAAGAAGCUUCCGUUCUAAGUUUUCCCUUGAUACAGUAGAUUAAUGUUUGUACCAGGCAGUAAGUAUUGGUGUUCUUAUCAGUUGGGAAAGAUAAUAUGUCUGUUGCUUGGAUUGAACCAGCUUAAGAUUAUGCAAAUAAUGCUCUGACCUAAAUAUUUUCUUCUUUUUUUCACUUGAAAAGGUAAGAUUAUAACACUUUAAACAUCACGUAUUUUCCUCUACUCUUUUGCCCCACAAGUAGAGAUUCAUGUAAUGUUUUGGUUUUAGGUGUCAAUGAAGACAGAAGUGACAUGGGCUCGUGAUAUGCUUCGAGGUGAUGAUGCGUUUGAGUUGCAGGUGAAACUUCUAAAGCAAGUCCCAGAAGAGUACCCAUACAAGGAUGAUGAGUGACAACUUGUGUUACCCUUUCAUGUGUCUUGUAUACAGUUAAUUACUUUCUAUCUACACCUAAAGCAUAGAAUAUUUACAUCAUGUUUUCUUUGAAUAUGUGAUUCACAAGAGGUUUGAAUUGAUUUAACUUAAUAGUUAGUAGUUGUAUCAUUUUUUAUGAGUAUGAUUGAGGACAUGCAUAGUAUGAUUGUGUUGGUUGAUUUGCAAUUAUGUAAUGGAGUGCAUGAGGAUCAGUUACCAACCUUUUAUGUUAGAGAACCAUAGCUAGACUUAGUGUGGCUGGACUGAACUUGAACUACUGUCCUGUAAUUUGAUGUUUUUGAUGAGCCAUAGCUUGAUGCUUUGUUUUUGAAGAAUUUAUGGGUUGGUUGUAUCUACUGAUUGAUGGUAUGAGCUUAAAAAUAAUAGAUAUCAUGUCAUGGCGUCUGUAUGCAAAUUCAC